UGUGGAAAGGCCCCAUGGCUUUGCCUCGGGAACUCACCACUAUGCAAGCAUUGGGGGGAACGCGCUGUGCGAGAAUUCGCCACGCCGCUCUGGGUUUGACUCGUCUGGGUGGCACUGAUACAAAAGCAUGGUGACUACUUUGCCACUUCCAUUCAAGAAUUGCAGUAAUAAAGCUACUUUAUCACCUUUGUA